rnacentral:rRNA from 1 species
AUGGCCAGCGGAAGUACCCAAGAGAGCAAGCAGCCAAGCCCCGAACUACCGUCGGAACUACCAUAUGACUUUUUGAAGAACAUUACGGAUGACUUCUCGGAUAAGCACAUACUUGGUGUAAGUCCAUUUGGAACGCUUUAUAAGGGAACAGUGCCAGAAGGAGGAAAAGUGAUUGCCGUGAAGAAACUUCAGGAAAACGCACCAAUACUGGCUGGCAAGACAUUCAAUACAGUGGUUCAGAACGUUAUGGCGCUAAAGCAUAUUAACAUAGUAGAGCUGAUCGGAUUCUGCAGUGAAGCACAGAAAAAAUUGGUGCAGUUCAAUGGAAGAUAUAUUCAUGCAGACAUUACUGAAAGUUUACUCUGCUACGAGUAUUUACCUAAUGGGAGCCUAAACCAGAAUCUUUUUGGGACCAAAGAAGGCGAGUCUGUCUCUUCACCUGGACCCUGUAUCGACUGGGGCACGCGGUUCAAAAUAAUCAACGGGAUUUGCCAGGGUUUAUGUUUUCUGCACAACUUGGAUAUUCCCCUUAUCCACAUGAAUCUAAAGCCUGAAAAUAUACUGUUGGAUGAAAACAUGAUACCGAAGAUUGCUGAUUUUGCAAUGUCGAGAGUCUUUGGUGAACAGCAAACCCGAUUGUGCACACAAAAAGUCGUGGGAUCGUAUGGGUACAUGGCUCCAGAAUACUUAUACAGAGGUGAAAUCUCCGCCCAAUCGGACAUAUAUAGUUUAGGCUUGCUGAUAAUCGAGAUCACCACAAGAGAGCAGAAUUGUCCCGAAGACAAUCAGCCAUCCGCAAGAAAAUUUAUUGAAAAAGUACGCAAAGAUUGGACAAUGCAGCACAUAGCGUCCAUGUAUGGGUCGUUAGAUGCAGAAUGCCUGCGGCAGAUAAAAGCAUGCAUUGAUAUUGGGCUGACUUGUGUUGAGAUAGAUCGGAGGCGCAGACCUUCCAUACUCGAAAUUGUUGAGAAGCUAUCAUUUGGUUCCAGCCGAACGUCAGAUGAGGUCUCUCGUGUGUCUUCAUCGAGCAGCAAGCCUAGGUUCACUUCAGGCCACAAGAAGAAAUAA